rnacentral:rRNA from 1 species
AUACGUAGGGGGCAAGCGUUAUCCGGAAUUAUUGGGCGUAAAGAGUGCGUAGGUGGUUUUGUAAGCGCGGGGUGAAAGGCAAUAGCUCAACUAUUGUAAGCCCUGCGAACUGUGAGACUUGAGUGCAGGAGAGGAAAGCGGAAUUCCUAGUGUAGCGGUGAAAUGCGUAGAUAUUAGGAGGAACACCAGUGGCGAAGGCGGCUUUCUGGACUGUAACUGACACUGAGGCACGAAAGCGUGGGGAGCAAACAGGAUUAGAUACCCUGGUAGUCCACGCCGUAAACGAUGAGCACUAGGUGUCGGGGCCGCAAGGCUUCGGUGCCGCAGUUAACGCAUUAAGUGCUCCGCCUGGGGAGUACGCACGCAAGUGUGAA